rnacentral:snRNA from 1 species
GUGCUUGCUUCGGCAGCAUAUAUACUAAAAAUGGGAACGAUACAGAGAAGAAUAGCAUGGCCCCUGCACAAGAAUGACAUGCAAAUUCGUGAAGCGUUUCAUAUUAAA